UACGUAGGGUGCGAGCGUUGUCCGGAAUUAUUGGGCGUAAAGAGCUCGUAGGCGGCUUGUCACGUCGACUGUGAAAACCCGGGGCUCAACUCCGGGCCUGCAGUCGAUACGGGCUGGCUUGAGUGCGGUAGGGGAGACUGGAAUUCCUGGUGUGGCGGUGAAAUGCGCAGAUAUCAGGAGGAACACCGGUGGCGAAGGCGGAUCUCUGGGCCUUACCUGACGCUGAGGCGCGAAAGCUAGGGGAGCAAACAGG
rnacentral:rRNA from 1 species